rnacentral:tRNA from 1 species
GUAGUGGUAACUCAGUGGUAGAGUGCUAUGCGUAGCAUGUAUGAGAUCCUGGGUUCGAUCCCCAGUACCUCCA